AUUGAACGCUGGCGGCAUGCCUUACACAUGCAAGUCGAACGGCAGCACGGGAGCAAUCCUGGUGGCGAGUGGCGAACGGGUGAGUAAUAUAUCGGAACGUGCCCAGUAGUGGGGGAUAGCCCGGCGAAAGCCGGAUUAAUACCGCAUGAGACCUGAGGGUGAAAGCGGGGGAUCGCAAGACCUCGCGCUAUUGGAGCGGCCGAUAUCAGAUUAGCUAGUUGGUGGGGUAAAGGCCCACCAAGGCAACGAUCUGUAGUUGGUCUGAGAGGACGACCAGCCACACUGGGACUGAGACACGGCCCAGACUCCUACGGGAGGCAGCAGUGGGGAAUUUUGGACAAUGGGCGCAAGCCUGAUCCAGCAAUGCCGCGUGCAGGAAGAAGGCCUUCGGGUUGUAAACUGUUUUUGUCAGGGAAGAAAUCCUCUGGGCUAAUACCUCGGGGGGAUGACGGUACCUGAAGAAUAAGCACCGGCUAACUACGUGCCAGCAGCCGCAGUAAGAC
rnacentral:rRNA from 1 species